rnacentral:rRNA from 1 species
UAGAGUUUGAUCAUGGCUCAGACUCUGUAGAGGGGGGUAGAAUUUCAGAGUUUGAUCAUGGCUCAGAUUGAACGCUGGCGGCAGGCCUAACACAUGCAAGUCGAGCGGAAACGAGAAUAGCUUGCUAUUCGGCGUCGAGCGGCGGACGGGUGAGUAAUGCCUGGGAAUAUGCCCUGAUGUGGGGGAUAACUAUUGGAAACGAUAGCUAAUACCGCAUAAUCUCUUCGGAGUAAAGAGGGGGACCUUCGGGCCUCUCGCGUCAGGAUUAGCCCAGGUGGGAUUAGCUUGUUGGUGGGGUAAAGGCUCACCAAGGCAACGAUCCCUAGCUGGUCUGAGAGGAUGAUCAGCCACACUGGAACUGAGACACGGUCCAGACUCCUACGGGAGGCAGCAGUGGGGAAUAUUGCACAAUGGGGGAAACCCUGAUGCAGCCAUGCCGCGUGUAUGAAGAAGGCCUUCGGGUUGUAAAGUACUUUCAGUUGUGAGGAAGACGUUGGCGUUAAUAGCUUCAACGUUUGACGUUAGCAACAGAAGAAGCACCGGCUAACUCCGUGCCAGCAGCCGCGGUAAUACGGAGGGUGCGAGCGUUAAUCGGAAUUACUGGGCGUAAAGCGUUCGUAGGCGGUUGAAUAAGCAAGAUGUGGAAGCCCAGGGCUCAACCUUGGAACUGCAUUUUGAACUGUUCGACUAGAGUACUGUAGAGGGGGGUAGAAUUUCA